rnacentral:rRNA from 1 species
AGAAUCAACGCUGGCGGCGUGCCUAACACAUGCAAGUCGCACGAGAAAGGGUAGCAAUACCUGAGUAAAGUGGCGCACGGGUGAGUAACACGUGAAUGAUCUACCUCCGAGUGGGGAAUAACUGAGAGAAAUCUUAGCUAAUACCGCAUAACACUUACGAGUCAAAGCAGCAAUGCGCUUGGAGAGGAGUUCGCGGCCGAUUAGUUAGUUGGCGGGGUAAUGGCCCACCAAGACGAUGAUCGGUAUCCGGCCUGAGAGGGCGCACGGACACACUGGAACUGAAACACGGUCCAGACUCCUACGGGAGGCAGCAGUGGGGAAUUUUGCGCAAUGGGGGAAACCCUGACGCAGCAACGCCGCGUGGAGGAUGAAAUAUCUUGGUAUGUAAACUCCUUUCGAUGGGGAAGAUUAUGACGGUACCCAUAGAAGAAGCCCCGGCUAACUUCGUGCCAGCAGCCGC